UUAUAUUAAAAUAUCACUAGAUUUAGAACCGUUAUGUGAUUUAUUAGAGAUAGCCUCUAGCAAAGCUAAUAUAUUAGGCAGAUCAACGAUUCGGCAAGAUGACGAGACCCGGAGAUCGGUCGCUUCUCUCGCGAUAGCCUAUCUACGACGAUCUCUCUGCUCGCGGCCGCCAUGAGUUCGAAGGACAAGAAACCGGCCAAGCCCUCGAGCAGCGGCCCCAACAUCCGCACCCUCGCCGAUGUCAACCGCCCUUCCGGCCCCUCCAGCGACAGCGACUCCGACGGACCCCAAGAGUACUACACCGGCGGUGAGAAGAGG
rnacentral:lncRNA from 1 species